rnacentral:rRNA from 1 species
UACAGAGGUCCCAAGCGUUGUUCGGAUUCACUGGGCGUAAAGGGUGCGUAGGUGGUUAGGUAAGUCCGGUGUGAAAUCUCCAGGCUCAACCUGGAAAUGGCAUUGGAUACUAUUUAGCUAGAGGAAUGGAGGGGAGACUGGAAUACUUGGUGUAGCAGUGAAAUGCGUAGAUAUCAAGUGGAACACCAGUGGCGAAGGCGAGUCUCUGGACAUUUCCUGACGCUGAGGCACGAAAGCCAGGGGAGCAAACGGG